UACGGAAGGCAGCAGUGGGGAAUAUUGCACAAUGGGCGCAAGCCUGAUGCAGCCAUGCCGCGUGUAUGAAGAAGGCCUUCGGGUUGUAAAGUACUUUCAGUCGUGAGGAAGGUGUUAAGGUUAAUAACCUUAGCAAUUGACGUUAGCGACAGAAGAAGCACCGGCUAACUCCGUGCCAGCAGCCGCGGUAAUACGGAGGGUGCGAGCGUUAAUCGGAAUUACUGGGCGUAAAGGGCACGCAGGCGGUUAAUUAAGUUGGAUGUGAAAUCCCCGGGCUUAACCUGGGAAUGGCAUUCAAGACUGGUUAGCUAGAGUCUUGUAGAGGGGGUAGAAUUCCAUGUGUAGCGGUGAAAUGCGUAGAGAUGUGGAGGAAUACCGGUGGCGAAGGCGGCCCCUGGACAAAGACUGACGCUCAUGUGCGAAAGCGUGGGGAGCGAAACAGGGAUUAGA
rnacentral:rRNA from 1 species